rnacentral:tRNA from 1 species
GCCCGGAUGGUCUAGUGGUAUGAUUCGCGCUUAGGGACAACCCAAGCAUAACUGCGCGAGGUCCCCGGUUCGAUCCCGGGUUCGGGCC